rnacentral:lncRNA from 1 species
AUGGCAACGUCCUCCAGGCGGACGCUGAUCCAAUGGGCUGAGGAGUCGAGGAGGACGUCGCCGCAGGAGGCAGCGCCAUCCGGGCAGCAGGGGGCGCCGAGGGCAAGACCACCAGUCCGGCGGCCGAGACGAGGACGAGGCAGGGACCAGCGGCGUCCUCCUUGGCCCACCGCGACGAGAGGCAGGAACCGAUGCAGGCGCAGCCGGAACCGGGCCGCCAGGAACCGAUGCCGGUGCGGCCGGAGCCGGGACGGGAGCGACCCCCUCCUGGAGGUCGGCAGGAACUACGACGGGAGCGACCCCCUCCUGGAGGUCGGCAGGAACUACGACGAGAGCGACCCCCUCCUGGAGGUCGGCAGGAACUACGACGGGAGCGACCCCCUCCUGGAGGUCGGCAGGAACUACGACGAGAGCGACCCCCUCCUGGAGGUCGGCAGGAACUACGACGAGAGCGACCCCCUCCUGGAGGUCGGCAGGAACUACGACGGGAGCGACCCCCUCCUGGGGGUCCGCAGGAACUACGACGGGAGCGACCCCCUCCUGGAGGUCGGCAGGAACUACGACGGGAGCGACCCCCUCCUGGAGGUCGGCAGGAACUACGACGGGAGCGACCCCCUCCUGGAGGUCGGCAGGAACUACGACGGGAGCGACCCCCUCCUGGAGGUCGGCAGGAACUACGACGGGAGCGACCCCCUCCUGGGGGUCCGCAGGAACUACGACGGGAGCGACCCCCUCCUGGAGGUCGGCAGGAACUACGACGGGAGCGACCCCCUCCUGGAGGUCGGCAGGAACUACGACGGGAGCGACCCCCCUCCUGGAGGUCGGCAGGAACUACGACGGGAGCGACCCCCUCCUGGAGGUCGGCAGGAACUACGACGGGAGCGACCCCCCUCCUGGAGGUCGGCAGGAACUACGACGGAGCGACCCCCUCCUGGAGGUCGGCAGGAACUACGGCGGGAGCGACCCCUCCUGGAGGUCGGCAGGAACUACGGCGGGAGCGACCCCCUCCUGGAGGUCGGCAGGAACUACGACGGGAGCGACCCCCUCCUGGAGGUCGGCAGGAACUACGACGGGAGCGACCCCCUCCUGGAGGUCGGCAGGAACUACGACGGGAGCGACCCCCUCCUGGAGGUCGGCAGGAACUACGACGGGCGCGACCCCCUCCUGGAGGUCCGCCGGAGCUGCGACGGGAGCGACCCCCUCCUGGGGAUCCGCCGGGACUGCGGCUGA